rnacentral:rRNA from 1 species
AUACGUAGGGUGCAAGCGUUAAUCGGAAUUACUGGGCGUAAAGCGUGCGCAGGCGGUUUUGUAAGACAGAGGUGAAAUCCCCGGGCUCAACCUGGGAACUGCCUUUGUGACUGCAAGGCUAGAGUACGGCAGAGGGGGAUGGAAUUCCGCGUGUAGCAGUGAAAUGCGUAGAUAUGGGGAGGAACACCGAUGGCGAAGGCAAUCCCCUUGGCCUGUACUGACGCUCAUGCACGAAAGCGUGGGGAGCAAACAGGAUUAGAUUCCCUGGUAGUCCACGCCCUAAACGAUGUCAACUGGUUGUUGGGUCUUCAUUGACUCAGUAACGAAGCUAACGCGUGAAGUUGACCGCCUGGGGAGUACGGCCGCAAGGUUGAAGCUCAAAGGAAUUGACGGGG